GCCGGUGUAGCUCAGCUGGGAGAGCGGUUCCUUUGUAAGGAAUAGGUCGAGAGUUCAAAUCUCUCCACCGGCU
rfam:Haloquadratum sp. J07HQX50 genomic scaffold scf7180000001541, whole genome shotgun sequence.